GCACAUUUAGAGAAACGGUAAUCUCAUUAGUCUCAUAAGCUAAAGAUACGGGUUCGACUCCCAGAUGUGCA
rnacentral:tRNA from 1 species